rnacentral:SRP_RNA from 1 species
GCUGGGCGCGGUGGUGGGCGCCUGUAAUCCCAGCUACUCAGGAGGCUGAGGUAGGGGAAUCGCUUGAGCCCAGGAGGCGGAGGUUGCAGUGAGUGGAGAUGGUGCCACUGUAUUCCAGCCUGGGUGACAGAGCGAGACUUUGUCUCAA